rnacentral:rRNA from 1 species
UACAGGGUGGCAAGCGUUGUUCGGAAUUACUGGGCUUAAAGGGCGAGUAGGCGGCCUUCUAAGUCAGACGUGAAAUCCCCCGGCUUAACCUGGGAACUGCGUCUGAUACUGGGAGGCUCGAGUAUGGGAGAGGGAUGUAGAAUUCCAGGUGUAGCGGUGAAAUGCGUAGAUAUCUGGAGGAAUACCGGUGGCGAAGGCGGCAUCCUGGACCAUUACUGACGCUGAAUCGCGAAAGCUAGGGGAGCAAACGGG